rnacentral:lncRNA from 1 species
CAGGGGUCUUCUAGAGGUGUCAGAGCAUCUGUGUUAGAGUUGGAAGUCCAAGAGGAUUUUGCAAAAAAAGAGGAGAGUGACAUGGGCCUGAAAUCAUCCAACAAUUUCUCAAGGAAGCCUGUAGAGAACAACAGCUCAGACGAUUUUUCCGGGCUUGAAAUUGUCAGGGUUGAGAAGGUGGAGAAUAGCACUCCGAAGCAUCUCUUUGAGCUAAAGAAGAGACAGUUGCAGUCUGCCUCUUCACAACGAAUGUACCAGCGCAAUACUGUGACCUGGUUAGCCGAGUGGGCUUCCAGAGGGAGUUUGCACCACCUGACGAGAAAAAUCAUGGAGAGGGGAUCUACUUCAGUAGCAGCAUGCAUGGGACAGAGAAGCUGUGGAGGGGCUUGGCUGAUGAAGAGUACCUGUACUUCGUUGCAGCGCAGGUGCUGACAGGGAAGUCAUUGGCACACCAGGUCUUAUUGUGCCACCGCAGACCCCCGUUGGAGACCCCCUAACCCUGUAUGACAGCGUGGAAGGGGGCGUAGACACCUGUGUCAUUUUCAAUGGUCACCAAGCCCUACCUGAAUAUCUGAUCAGCUGCACAAAAACAACUUCAACCCAUAAGUUCUGAUAACGAUGAAGUCCUAUGAAAUAUAGAUCUUAAUUUCAUUCAGUGAUUGUCUACUCUAUAGUCUAUGCAGAAAAACUGGAUUUGAUACACCAAUAUAGGAAAUUCUGACAAUUGCAUCACAUGUAUAUUGUUUUUUGAUUUGCCAUGGUUUAGUUUAAUUAUUUGCCUCCGUAUUAGCACUACGGCUUCAGUUUGCAGCCAACUAAAUUUUAUUGCAGUUUGAAUGGGUAUGUUAUGAAUUUAGCAGUGGGUUUGCAUGUAUACUGAACAAAAA